CCUACGGGUGGCUGCAGUGAGGAAUAUUGGUCAAUGGGCGCGAGCCUGAACCAGCCAAGUCGCGUGAGGGAUGACGGUCCUACGGAUUGUAAACCUCUUUUGCCGGGGAGCAAGCGUGCGUUCGUGAACGCCCGUCGAGAGUACCCGGAGAAAAAGCAUCGGCUAACUCCGUGCCAGCAGCCGCGGUAAUACGGAGGAUGCGAGCGUUAUCCGGAUUUAUUGGGUGUAAAGGGUUCGUAGGCGGCAUGUAAAGUCAGGUGUUAAAGGUGCAGGCUCAACCUGUGUCUGGCACUUGAUACUUGCGAGCUGGAAUGCGGUAGAGGUAAAGGGAAUGCCUGGUGUAGCGGUGAAAUGCUUAGAUAUCAGGCGGAACACCGGUGGCGUAAGCGCUUUACUGGG
rnacentral:rRNA from 1 species